rnacentral:rRNA from 1 species
GACGAACGCUGGCGGCGUGCCUAAUACAUGCAAGUCGAACGCUUCUUUCCUCCCCAGUGCUUGCUCUCAAUUGGAAAGAGCAGUUGCGGACGGCUUAGUAACACGUCCUUAACCUACCCAUCAGAGUGGGAUAACCCUUGCAAACAGCUGCUAAUACCUCAUAACACUUUAUUCCGCAUUGCAUGAGAGUGUUGGGCGCUCUCGUGUGUCGCUGCUGGCUGGACCCGCGCUGCAUUAGCUAGUUGGUGAGGUAACGGCUCACCAAGGCAACGAUGCAUAGCCGACCUGAGAGGGUGAUCGGCCACACUGGAACUGAGACACGGCCCAGACUCCUACGGGAGGCAGCAGUAGGGAAUCUUCGGCAAUGGACGAAAGUCUGACCGAGCAACGCCGCGUGAGUGAUGAAGGUUUUCGGAUCGUAAAACUCUGUUAUUAGAGAAGAACAAGGACGUUAGUAACUAAGCGCCUCUUGACGGUAUCUAACCAGAAAGCCACGGCUAACUACGUG